GUUUUCCCUUUCCUCGAUGUGAUCCUGCCUGUCCGGGCAGCCCCGGCGACAUGAGGCGGAUACAGCGUCAGUAAUGCGGGAGGCGAUCUCCGGCCGGCCUUGGGCGCCGAGCCCCCCGAAGUUGGUCUCUUGGAGGAUUGUAAAGGAGUAAUCGGUGCAUGUCUUUCUCUUCUUUCCCGUUUCCUUUGGCCGGGCCCCCCGUAGAUGGUGUCUGGAGAGCCGGUGGUCGUGGCAGUGGAGGAGGAGCGCCCCACUAGUAUGAAGGAGAUGAUCGGAGGCUGCUGUGUGUGCUCAGACGAAAGAGGCUGGGCCGAAAACCCACUGGUUUACUGUGACGGGCAUGGCUGCAAUGUGGCGGUGCAUCAAGCUUGCUAUGGCAUAGUGCAAGUGCCAACCGGACCUUGGUUUUGCAGGAAAUGCGAAUCUCAGGAAAGAGCUGCCAGAGUGAGAUGUGAAUUGUGUCCUCAUAAGGAUGGCGCUUUAAAAAGAACAGACAAUGGGGGUUGGGCUCACGUGGUAUGUGCACUAUAUAUACCAGAGGUUCAGUUUGCUAAUGUUUCUACAAUGGAGCCGAUUGUGUUACAGUCUGUGCCCCAUGAGAGAUACAACAAGACAUGCUAUAUUUGUGAUGAGCAAGGAAGAGAGAGCAAAGCUGCUACUGGUGCUUGUAUGACCUGCAAUAAACACGGAUGUCGACAGGCCUUCCAUGUUACUUGUGCACAGCUUGCUGGGCUUCUUUGUGAAGAAGAAGGGAACGGUGCAGAUAAUGUGCAGUACUGUGGUUAUUGUAAAUAUCACUACAGCAAACUGAAGCAUAAAGAGAAAGAAAAGCACAGGCAGAAAUCCAGAAAGCAAAUGGAGCCACUGCCAUCGUUAGUCACCUCUCUGAGUGUGACUUCUGAAAAGGCCUAUACAUGCAGCAGCAACAACAACAGCAACCCUGUGACAAGCUCAGUGAAGCGAAUAGAAGACACUGCCGCCCGGUUUACCAAUGCAAAUUUUCAAGAGGUUUCUGCACAUCCUAUUACCGUAAAGGAAGCACUGGAAGCCCGGAGUUCUGAGAUGAAAGUAAAGAAAGCUGCAAGUCACAGCACCAUACAACGGGGCCGAAAAUCUAGCAGUGGAAGAAAUUGUGCUGUCUCUUCAACAGCAACAAGUCCCUUCCAGCAAGCCCAUUUUUCAGGGACACCAAGCAGUGUUAAAUCAUCCUCCGGAAGUUCAGUCCAGUCACCGCAGGAAUUUCUUAGCUACGCAGAAUUUGGAGUUCGAAAUGAAAGCUAUCAUCACACUCAGCAACCAGCGUCCACCAAAGAUGCACCUAAAGGAGAACCUGGAUUGCAGGAAGGGACAAUAAACAGUUUUAGCUCAUUAAUUGGUCUUCCUACAAAUCCCUGUCUGUCUUUCCAAACAAAAAACUAUGAAAGUGUUUCUGGGGAUUAUGUGACUAGCAGCCUCACUGUAGCAGGAUACAAGCGCUUGCAGUCCUCUCUUCUAGAUGAGGAGACCGUGAAAGAGAAGAAGCGUAAGGGAAGUAAGCUGAGCAAGCACGGCCCUGGUAGACCAAAAGGGAGCAAAAACCAAGAAACUCUGUCCCAUUUAUCUGCAUCUUCAGCUUCUCCAACAUCAUCUGUGGCAUCUGCAGCUGGGAGCAUAGCAAGCUCUGGUAUUCAGAGGUCUCCUACAUUGCUCAGGAAUGGAAGCUUACAGAGUUUGAGCGUUGGGUCAUCUCCAGGCGGUUCAGCAGGUUUAUGCAACUGCAAUGAUGUCCCCACGUCCUUUCCCAGUGCUUCGUCUGGCUCAAGCACUCCAGUCUCCAGUUCCCAUUUUCCACAACCUGCAGCCGCUCAUUUGCAGCAAGGAGUCACCUCCUCCCCUUCAUCUUCAGCCACUGUUCCUGCAAGCACCGCAGCAACUCAGGUAUCCUCACUCCCUGGAUCCACGCUUGCUAUCUCUUCAUCUCAUACAUUUGGCAGCAGGCUCAAUCCAACGUCCGCUGCAGGACCUCUUCCAGGGCCAAAUGAAAAUAAUCAGUCAGAUCAAGAUGCUGCAGAUAAUAACUACAACCUUCCAGCAAAAGGAGCCUCCCCCAAAGGAAGUCUUUCCCCACGGUCUCCUUUGAACAGUGUCAGUCUGGAGAACAUCCCCCCAGUUGCCACCAGUAUAGAGCAGCUCCUGGAGAGGCAGUGGAGUGAAGGGCAGCAGUUUCUGCAAGAACAAGGAACCAAUAGUGACCUUUUAGGCAUGCUGAAAUCACUGCAUCAACUGCAAGUGGAAAACAGGCGACUGGAGGAACAGAUAAAGAACCUGUUGGCCAAAAAAGAGCGCCUUCAGCUAUUAAAUGCCCAGCUUUCUGUCCCCUUCCCAACAAUCUCAUCGAACCCCAACACAUCCCCUCAAGUGCACACGUACUCCUUACAGAAUGCGUCUAACAGUGAUUCCUUACACAUCAGUAAAAGCCCUCACUUAGGAAACUUCCAGAUGGACAAUGCCCUUCCAGUUCCAAAUCAGGAACGGACAUCAAGUGGACAAAGCACCAGCAGUUGUUCAUCUCUUUCUACACCACCCCCAGAUGGACAGAGUCCGGCACAGCAAGUCCAGGGAGUUCAGAGAAUAAAUGGCGUCGCAAUGGGAGCACUAGCCAGCGGCAUUCAGACAGUCACACAAUCUCUUCCUCACGUUGCGAGUGUGGGUGCAAUUAUUGGAGCCUUGCCAGCAAACCAGCUGUCUAUUAAUUUUGGAGCUCUGAAUGGGGUGAUGCAGAACCCAGCGAACUUGCCUCAGACUUCUGCACUCACACACGGAUCCAUUCUGCCUAAUGUCACGCACCCCAUAACAUCCUCAUUAACAAACAGUGCCUCUGGAUUAGGGCUUCUGUCAGACCAACAAAGACAGCUGCUCCUCCAUCAGCAGCAACAACAGUUUCAGCAUAUUCUGAAUUCUCAGCAGCUUACACCUGAACAGCACCAUACUUUCUUAUAUCAUCUAAUGCAACAGCAUCACCAACAGCAACAGCACCACCAGCCAGAGUUGCAGCAACUUCAGAUUCCCGGAGCAGCCCAGUUACCCUUGAAUAGCUUGCUGGCCGGAGCACAAGCUGCCCCUCUUCAUUCCACCACUACUAACCCAUUCCUUGCAUUGCACCGAGACGCCACAGCUCAGAAAGUAGCCAGACUUGGAGAUAAACCCGGGCCGCUUCUGCAAGACAAAAGUUGAUCUCUAAGCCACGGAGAUGCACAUUAUCCUGGCAUUUGUCCCGCUGCAGACAGAAGUCUUCCUUUAUUGUAGCUAUGAAACACUGCAGCUGGAGAUAAGACUGCACAAAAUAGAUGUCCCUCUCUUGUAAGCCAGACAUACAGGCAAUACACGGGCACAUGCUGCAGGCCCAGACUAACCCGCAGGAGUGUACAGGGGCAGCCUUUCUCCCGAGGUCUUUGAAUAUUAUUCAUUCUAGUGUUGCUGCACUGAAAUAUGACUGUUAUGUGACAUUCCAAAAAGUACAAUGCUGUUGUCAGUGGCAGAUGGAAAUCAACCGUUGGACUUGAUACCACUAAAGGGAACAGCCCAUUGUACGAUUCCUUCACUCAGCAGCUGACAGUUUGAUGUAAUGGUGCAAUGCUUGCUUCAGUUACCCACAAGUGCUUUGGGCAUCCGUGUCUUUCCAUUGAUCCCUGGAAGUAAUUGAUGUUCAAGCAAGACAGUCUCUUUGGAUGUCUACCCCAGCAGUUCCUUUUCUAGAGAGCAAUGCGCUUGCCCUAAGAGCUGCCAUUUCUCCACAACUGCUUUCCUACGUCGUAAGUGCCUGUUGCAAAGCUCAAAGAGCAAACCUGAGGCAGACUCUUGUGCACUCCUAAAAGGGGUUCUAUUUAUAAGCAGCAGCUGGCACAAACUGGACUUCACUCCAAAACUUGAUGCAACUAAAAAGUAGUUUAUUCAACAAAAAUUACCAUCUCAAAAAAUAGCCUUACGCAUUUCGUGCUUUGUGGGCACUUAAUCAUAGGCUGAUAUUUUUUUUCCUGGUGAAUUCCCAGAACAAACCGAUAAGUACCUUUUAAAUCAUCCACUAACAUUAAUUGUGUCUUUCAUUCGUUACUCACUUCCCUUUCUGCAUGCAAUGCUCUAGUAGUUGGUUAAAGAACCGGUGUAGUUGGCAGUUUGCAUCAUUAAUGGCAGUAGAGGAGUAGACCCCUCGGUAAUUUGACUUCCAGGGGCAGUUUUAUUAAGGGUCGAAUUGAAAAUUCAGAUUUAAAUUUUUGAUUUUUUUUUUUUUUUAUGGUCAAAACGCUCAUUCGAAUUGGGAGUUGUCCAAACUCAAUUUGAGUUUUAAUUUGAAUUUCGAGAUUUAUCAUACCCUUUAAGUGCAGGGGCACACGGGCAGAUUUGAUGAGAUUUAGUUGCCUGGCGACUAAUAGCCUCUUCUGCGGGGCAUCC